UGAAAAUCUACCCGCGACACUCACAAACUUAUAAUUCCUCCUCACCACAAGUUUAUGUGUUAAAAACCAUCAUCAUAAAAGGAAAUGAGACCCGUAUCUGAAGGAAACAGAUGUUCGGUACACGGACGACGCCGACUCUCCCAUCACCAAGCUGCCCUCGGUUGCCCAGGAGAGCCACAGUGCCUUGAGAACAUAAGCAGAUGAAUAGCCUUGGAAGAUAGAGAUCGUGUCUCCCUCCAGAGCAAAGGGCAGAUUAGCUUCAAUGAUGACAGAAGAUCCCGGUUCCCGGGCUCAGAGCUCCGCUGCUGUAACGUAAGCCCUUCUGUCCUCAUGUCACCUAGAGCCUCUUCCUGUCACCCUGUGGGAAGUGAUUCUGAGGAAACCAGCACAAUUGCAAACACUCUGGCUACUGCUUUGCU
rnacentral:lncRNA from 1 species